AGUGAACGCUGGCGGUAGGCCUAACACAUGCAAGUCGAACGGCAGCACAGUAAGAGCUUGCUCUUACGGGUGGCGAGUGGCGGACGGGUGAGGAAUACAUCGGAAUCUACUUUUUCGUGGGGGAUAACGUAGGGAAACUUACGCUAAUACCGCAUACGCCCUACGGGUGAAAGCAGGGGAUCUUCGGACCUUGCGCGAUUGAAUGAGCCGAUGUCGGAUUAGCUAGUUGGCGGGGUAAAGGCCCACCAAGGCGACGAUCCGUAGCUGGUCUGAGAGGAUGGUCAGCCACACUGGAACUGAGACACGGUCCAGAGGCCUACGGGAGGCAGCAGUGUGGAAUAUUGGACAAUGGGCGCAAGCCUGAUCCAGCCAUACCGCGUGGGUGAAGAAGGCCUUCGGGUUGUAAAGCCCUUUUGUUGGGAAAGAAAAGCAGCAGGUUAAGACCCCGCUGUUCUGACGGUACCCAAAGAAUAAGCACCGGCUAACUUCGUG
rnacentral:rRNA from 1 species